GUGGAUGUAGCUCAGUUUGGUUAGAGCGCCAGGUUGUGGCCCUGGAGGCCGCCGGUUCAAACCCGGUCUUCCACCCCA
rnacentral:tRNA from 1 species